GUCAUUGGCGGAGUGGUUAACGCGGUUGCCUCCUGAACAGCUUGUCCCUGGUUCUAGUCCCGGCAGUGGCG